rnacentral:rRNA from 1 species
GACGAACCGUCCUAACGUUGUUCGGAUUCACUGGGCUUAAAGGGCGCGUAGGCGGGUAAGCAAGUCCGGGGUGAAAUCUUUCGGCUCAACCGGAAAAUAGCCUUGGAUACUGCUUGUCUGGAGGGAGGUAGGGGUCUGUGGAACUUCCGGUGGAGCGGUGAAAUGCGUUGAUAUCGGAAGGAACGCCGGUGGCGAAAGCGACGGACUGGACCUCUUCUGACGCUGAGGCGCGAAAGCUAGGGGAGAGAACGGG